CCGGCGACCGGCGCACGGGUGAGUAACACGUAUGCAACCUGCCCUCUUCAGGGGGACAACCUUCCGAAAGGGAGGCUAAUCCCGCGUAUAUCGGUUUCGGGCAUCCGAGAUCGAGGAAAGAUUCAUCGGAAGAGGAUGGGCAUGCGGCGCAUUAGGCAGUAGGCGGGGGUAACGGCCCACCUAACCGACGAUGCGUAGGGGUUCUGAGAGGAAGGUCCCCCACACUGGUACUGAGACACGGACCAGACUCCUACGGGAGGCAGCAG
rnacentral:rRNA from 1 species